rnacentral:lncRNA from 1 species
AGGAAUGACCACUCUGUACAUGGCCAAAAUCAGACCAAUUUUAUGAUCGUCAUGACACUCCAUCGCCCGACUCCAGGAUGCUCGAUACAUGGCUAGAGGUUCAACCUCGAGGGUUCCCUGCGAUUCGAACACGGGCCAGUGCAAAUUGGUAGGUAUGACAGACAAACACAAAAUUGCCAAGGCACAUGGUUAGAGCUGACCAGGUCUACUAAGCUA